rnacentral:rRNA from 1 species
GACGAACCGUGCGAACGUUGUUCGGAUUCACUGGGCUUAAAGGGCGCGUAGGCGGGCGACCAAGUCCGGGGUGAAAUCUUUCGGCUCAACCGGAAAAGUGCCUUGGAUACUGGUCGUCUCGAGGGAGGUAGGGGCAUGCGGAACUUCCGGUGGAGCGGUGAAAUGCGUAGAUAUCGGAAGGAACGCCGGUGGCGAAAGCGGCGUGCUGGACCUCUGCUGACGCUGAGGCGCGAAAGCCAGGGGAGCGAACGGG